GCGGGAAUAGCUCAGUGGUAGAGCGUUACCUUGCCAAGGUAAAUGUCGCGGGUUCAAGUCUCGUUUCCCGCUCCA
rnacentral:tRNA from 3 species